GGACGUUCCCCCUCUGUACAUAGUCGGAGCUUUCAUCCCGGCCACCAUGAUCGCCGUGCUCUACUACUUCGACCACAGCGUCGCGUCGCAGCUGGCCCAGCAGAAAGAGUUCAACCUGAAGAAGCCCCCCUCGUACCACUACGAUCUCCUCCUCCUGGGUUUCCUGGUCUGCGCCGUCCUUCCUUUUUAUGGCAAUCGCGACCCCCAUUAAUUAGGUACCCGAAUCCUGCUCACCUUGUGCGAAUCUUCAGACCUUGCUCUGCGGGCUCAUUGGGAUCCCUCCGGCGAACGGCGUCAUCCCCCAGUCUCCGAUGCACACGAAGAGUCUGGCCACGCUCAAACACCAGGUUGCAGAGACAGAUUUUCUUCCUUCUGCUGAAGCCCCCAUGAAUGAGGACGAGCUCCCUCCCUCUAAUGGCGAUUGCUUCCCUGAAAACAGCUGCUGCGCAACAAGCUGGCGUCGACUGCCCGCAAGAGCAUCGCCCAGAACUCGAGCUUGACUCAGCUCUACGGCGACAUGCAGGAAGCCUACAACCAGAU
rnacentral:lncRNA from 1 species